AGAGUUGAUCCUGGCUCAGGAUGAACGCUGGCGGCGUGCCUAAUACACGCAAGUGAAACGGGUAUCUUCGGAUACCAGUCGCGGACGGGUGAGUAAUACAUAGGCAACCUGCCUUUAUGAGGGGGGAUAACCGAGGGAAACUUUGGCUAAUACCGCAUGAAGACUCUAAGGCAUCUUAGAGGGAUAAAAGUUGGGAAACAACGCAUGAAGAUGGGCUUAUGGCGCAUUAGCUAGUUGGUGAGAUAGAAGCCCACCAAGGUAAUGAUGCGUAGCCGACCUGAGAGGGUGAACGGCCACAUUGGGACUGAGACACGGCCCAAACUCCUACGGGAGGCAGCAGUAGGGAAUUUUCGGCAAGUGGGGGGAACCCUGACCGAGCAACGCCGCGUGAAGGAAGAAGGUUUUCGGAUUGUAAACUUCUGUUAUAAGGGAAGAACGGAUUGGAUAGGGAAUGAUCUGAUAGUGACGGUACCUUAUUAGAAAGCCACGGCUAACUACGUGCCAGCCGCAGC
rnacentral:rRNA from 1 species